rnacentral:rRNA from 1 species
AUACGAAGGGUGCGAGCGUUAAUCGGAAUUACAGGGCGUAAAGCGCGCGUAGGCGGUUGGAUAAGUCGGAUGUGAAAGCCCCGGGCUCAACCUGGGAAUUGCAUUCGAAACUGUCCGGCUAGAGUAUGGUAGAGGGAAGCGGAAUUCCACAUGUAGCGGUGAAAUGCGUAGAUAUGUGGAGGAACACCAGUGGCGAAGGCGGCUUCCUGGACCAAUACUGACGCUGAGGUGCGAAAGCGUGGGGAGCAAACAGGAUUAGAAACCCCAGUAGUCC